GUAGAUUCAAAGAAAAAGAGUGAUGCGGCUUUAGAAAGAAAUAUGCGAAACGCGGGCAUACGCUCAUUCACGGAUAGAAUCCUCGAGCAGUUUGUACCACGUGUCUUCGUCAGCAAAGACCAGAACACCGACAGCACACAAAAGCAAGGCACAGCGGAGGUUGGGACUCAUCACUAUACAGGAGAAACAGUCGAAACGGAAGAGAGAACUAUGGGAGGUGAAAUAUUUACACAGCUGUUCUUGUGGGCGGUUUUAACCAACAGGAACAUCGUGGCUCGACAUUUUUGGACUCGAGGACAGGUCAGCAUUGUAAAUUCACGCAACUAUGCGCCCACAUUUAAUCGGUGGGGUUUCCUAAUGGUUUAAUCAC